UACGGGGGGGGCAAGCGUUGUUCGGAAUUACUGGGCGUAAAGGGUUCGUAGGUGGCUUGUUAAGUCAGACGUGAAAUCCCUCAGCUUAACUGGGGAACUGCGUCUGAGACUGGUGAGCUUGAGUGCAGGAGAGGAACGCGGAAUUCCAGGUGUAGCGGUGAAAUGCGUAGAUAUCUGGAAGAACACCGGUGGCGAAGGCGGUCAACUGGCCCUCAACUGACGCUGAGGCACGAAAGCGUGGGGAUCAAACAGG
rnacentral:rRNA from 1 species